rnacentral:rRNA from 1 species
AACGAACGCUGGCGGGGUGCUUUACACAUGCAAGUCGAACGAGUGGAGGACGGAUGAGUAAUAUAUUGGAACGUGCGUAGUAUCGGGGGAUAACUACUCGAAAGAGUGGCUAAAACCGCUUACUACUGGAACGGCACAUAUCGGAUUAGCUAGUUGGUGGGGUAUAGCUUCACCAAGGCAACGAUCCGUAGCUGGUUUGAGAGGACGACCAGCCACACUGGGACUGAGACACGGCCCAGACUCCUACGGGAGGCAGCAGUGGGGAAUUUUGGACAAUGGGGGAAACCCUGACCCAGCCAUCCCGCGUGUAUGAGAAGGCCUUCGGGUUGUAAAGUACUUUUGUCAGAGAAGCGGUAUCUGCAGAAUAAGCACCGGCUAACUACGUGCCAGCAGCCGCGGUAAUAC